rnacentral:misc_RNA from 1 species
ACCAAAUCAAAUUUAUGGUCGCUAAGAUUUUCUUUUCAAAAUCUCUAAAAAUCUUCCAAACCCUUCCUCUUCUCCCAAAAAAACUAAAAAUUAUAAAGUCCUUAAUUGAAAAACAAACUUUAAUUUACUCUACCUCUUAAUCUUCCUAAACGAAGACACAUGAGAAUGAGGUUUACAAGCUAAAAUAAUACCCAAUUGAACAGUUAGCCCUAAUUCUUUGCUAAGAUCCUAAGUCCAAGGUGAGCACCUCAUGCAAAUAGUUCUGUCAACUUCUCCUGAAAGGAUUUAAGAAUCUUGUUAAAGGUGUUAUUUAAAGAAUUUAUACGAUGUCCAUGGUGAAUAUGUUAAGUGGAGAAUAAAGGGCUUUGUUUAUCCACUCAAUUUGCUGCAAUUUCAUUACAGAUUCGAUUCCAACACUAUGUAUUUCAUGAAAAGGAUUGUAUUUUGGUGGUCUCAAUGCAUCCUUUAGUUCAUCAAUGGCCUUCAAGUAUGAUAUGAAGCAUUAUUUCUGGUGAGUGAAGAACCCAAUUUGCUAGUCAAUAGUUCCAUAAGCUGGAAUAUUAGUUUGAUUACUCGGCUACCCUGAAUUUUGAAAAGAAUUGACGAGAUAGAUGACGAGUAUAUUUUAAUAGCGUCAUUUUCCAACGGCCCUACGAUUAUAAUCCGAUUCAGGACUAUUACAGCUAAAUUUAAAUUUGACCCGCUUCAAUCUGAUUCUGAGCCAAACUCAAACUAAGUUUAUAUGUUCUUGAUACCCCAUCCAACGUUCACGUAAAAGAUGCCAUAGGCUACUAAUACACCUUGAGCGUAUAACCAAACUUGACAAGUGCUUACCAACUCCAUUUGGAGGAAAAACCCGAUGCCGUCACUGAUAUUACUUCCUGUUGUUUAUGACAACCACUAUUAUCAAAGUGGUUGGAUCAAUGCUUACACCAAAUCUAUUUUCCCCUUCUCCAAAGGCCUCUUUAUGAACUUGUAACAUACAAAGGUAAGUAAAUCUCGCUCCAUCUCUGUAAUUUCCGUGCUGUACUCCGGCUCAAAGUCAAUACUCGAGAGAUAUUGUUUGGCUUUGCAGAUAAUAAAUGUGUCCAACCGUGGCGCUGGCACCAUAUCAUCCUCUUCGCUUGUUAUGGAUUGCUUUAGUAUGGACUGAUAAUUAUCAGGCAAUUUUGACAGAACAGUCUCAUCGAGAUGAUUUCCCAGAUCAUCAGUGCACCUUCGUGCAAACAUCUGCUCCUGCUUUGAAAGCCGGUUUAGAUACUCAUCAGUUUUUAAAAUGUGGAACAAGUACUCCUCAAUCUGCAAUGAAACUCGCUUGAUAAAUAAAUAAUUAAACAAAAUUUAACUGGCAGCUGGGAUAUUUUGUGGCAGAUUCAACUUUCGCGGUCCAAACAAACCCUAAUAGAACAUUAGCCACCUUCUGGAGGCGAACCCGGAGAUAGGAUCUCAACAGAAACUGAGUCCUAUCGAGGUCCAUCUGGUAAAGUGACACAGUAAGGGGAUCUAUACUGUCCGCUUCAAACAUCUCCACGUUUUGCUCCUGUAAAGAUGCACCAAAUUGGUAUGAAAAUUUAGCAUCAAUAGAAUACUUGUGAGGUAUUCUCACAACUCCAACUUGCAUAUAAAAUUCCAAAUUUUUCUAAAUCAUCACCAAGAAUAUGCAUAUUAAAUAGAUGCAUAUACAAACUUCACACUCCAAUUUCCAAUGCAAAAAACAGAAUAGCCAAUUUCACACUCCAACUAUCAUCUCCAUUAACAAAUAACGCUAGCAAAAUUCAAUCCUGAACAGGAGGAAAAAAAUAAAAUCUAGCAUAUUAGCAAGCUUCAUACAAAAGCUAAAUCAACAACUUAUUUACAGUUCAAUUGUUCGAAAAAUAACAAAGCGAUGAAAUUGUACCGAAUUAGAUUCAUCUUCUGGUUAAAUUAACAAAAUUUAGGGUUUUGAAACAAGCAAUACCGCCAAUUCGAUCUGCUCUUUGAUUCUCUGAACCAAAGAAGAUUCGUACUGAAGAAUCUCCGGAGCAGCCUUCUCAUUACGCCAAGCCCUCUUCAAGAGCUCGACGUCGGUCGUCGAAAUCAAGGUCUCGUAAUCAUCCAUGAUCGCGCUUGUUGACUCCUCUCCAGAUCCAGUAGCCAUCUGAUCUGAUUACUCCUCUGAAACAGUGUGAAUAAGAUUGACUGAUUUCUCCUUUUCUACGACUCCGCCAGGGGCGCUGAAAAGAGAGGGAAAACCGUAAAAUUAUAAAAAGAAGUGGCGCCAAAAGCAGCUGGAGUAGGGUAUGGUGAACGAGACAGAUCACGAGUUUGUGCGUGAAUCUAACACCCUUGGAUAGCCAUACAAAUGGACGGCCGAGAUGGGAUGGGGUUCGAUUCACACACAAACUAGAGAUAUGUACGUCCCAU